rnacentral:pre_miRNA from 1 species
GGCCCAAAUUUGAAGUAGAGUAGAUUAGAAAAGAUCACCUGGCUCUAUUAAACUACCCUACUUCGAGUUUGUGCCC